AGCGGGGUGAAAUUCUGCAUUUGAUUAGGUUUUAUCGAAAUCUGCCGUUAUGUGAUUGUUUCAAUAUGGUAUGCGCUGAAACUGAAACCAGGAAAAAAUCGAGAGUUACUACCUGUGCGGAGUCAGUGCCAUCAAUCGAAAAACCUAAAAGCUGGCGAUGAAAUUGAUUAAAGCCGAAUCAAUUUCUAGACGUGCUGAUGGUUUGGGCUCUAGCUGUAGAUCGCCGGCAACGGUAGCAAGGACAUUCUGCUCAAAUGGCAUUCAAAGUGAGCAUGGUUAGGUUUAUACUUCGGCUAGUAAGUUAUUUGAUCGGAUAAUUUUUACACCGCAUUUCUAUCCGAACGAACAGUCAACUGCAGAGUAUCUGCAGCGGUGAAAGUUCAACCUGUUCAACCAUAAAGUAAAACUACAAACCCUAGUUCAUGAGGUUAACCUCACGAAUUAUCGUCGCAGUGUUAGCAGCAUAUUAGGCCCUAUACAUUGCUGAACUUCUUGUAGCAAUAGCUCGAGCAAACAAGCUGGAACCUUUUACUGAGGAACCGAUUUUCAGAGUCUCUUUUGCUCUGGAAGCAGGUGGAAAACAACAUCAUCCUGCAGACGACGACAACAACGAAACAAAUGUACUUGAUGCAACUGCCUAGGGCCGGACUCAAAAUUUCUCGGCGCUAAAAUUUUCACUAUUAUCAAACGAUACAUUUAAAGUUUGAAUUAAAAAUCAGAUUUAGAGAAGGAAAUUUAUCACGGCAUCAGCUAUUUUUGGACAUUUUUCAGAGUUGUUACUAUUGUCAUGCUCCUCUCAAUGCAUUGGUCAUGGCACACUGUCGUAACAUAGUGUCGACAGGACACAUUACCGUGUUGCGAUGAGCAGCCUGUAACGCCCAGUUUUGUGUUCUCAUAAGGGGUCAUGCAUAAAUGACGUAGC